rnacentral:misc_RNA from 1 species
AAGUCGUAACAAGGUUUCCGUAGGUGAACCUGCGGAAGGAUCAUUACAGAUAUACAUUAAAUAUAUCUUCCAACCCCCUUUAAAUUGUGAACUUUUGGUGUAAGCAAAGCUAGUGCCCCUAUUCAAUUAGGGGUGUUAGAUCUUACAAUCCAAAUUUUUUUUCAUAUACACAAUACCUAUGUAUGUAUUAUGCAUGAUGAUAAAUAAAACAAACAUAACUUUCAGCAACGGAUCUCUUGGCUCUC